AGAUAACAACGCUUCGGGUACACGGAAACAUAUUGCUACGGUAGCGUUGAAUCAGGCAAGUUUUUCGUUUUCGUUUGUAUUACAUGAACUUGAUAUUGUUUAUGUGCAAUCAUUGUUGUGUUAUGAUGCGAUUGUUAGGAAUAUGUUGAAAUAUAUGUUGGGUUGCAAUAUUAUAUGAAUUGUUUUAGUCAAGUUAUGAUUAAAAGUCAAUUGAGUUACGGACACUCAAUUUAUUUGUGAUAUGUGAAAUGAGAUAUGUGAGAAAUGUUAAAAUUGGCAUCACAUGAAGUAUGAUCUAAAUAUAAUAUUAUGAUGAAAUUGAAAGCUCGCAUGUGAAAAUGCAUAUAAUGAAUAUAUUGAGCAUAUGUAGAUGCACUAGACAAGUAUUAUGAUGCAUAUAUAGAAUGUAUAGCAUGAGCAACAUGAUGCAUAAUUGAAAUGCAUAGUAGAUAUGAAUGUGAUGCAUGAAAACGUUAGACUUGUUGGGCCGUCGCGCUCAUUCUUGCAAAUAAAUUUUAUUUGCAGUUAAAUGAAGAGAUUUCUGAAGAACAUGGCAGAAGAAUGGAAGCGCGCAUAGAAAACUAUAAACUAUUGUUUUUAUUAUUAU
rnacentral:lncRNA from 1 species